CAAGUCGAGAAGCAAAUAGCAAUGACUUUAUGCAACUUGGAAAAAGAUUUCCCUCCCUCAUUUUUCAUAGUUAUGGUGCAUUUAGUCAUUCAUUUGGCUACGGAGGCUAAAAUUGCUCGGCAUGUUCAUUACCGUUGAAUGUAUCCAAUUGAGAGGUAUCUCCAGCGACUUAAGUCGUACGUUUGCAAUAGAGCCCACCCCGAGGGUUCUAUUGCAAAAGGAUACAUAGCAAAAGAGUGCCUAACAUUCUGUUCAUGAUAUUUAGACUCGGUCAAGACCGUAUUUAAUCGACCGUCGUGAAACGUUAAAGAUGCUUCUGGGUCGAUAACGAAUUUCGAACUUGAUCAAAAGUCGUGAACACAAGCACAUUGUUAUGUGUUAUUCAAUAGUGAUGAAAUAAUUCCAUAUCGCAUGGGACAUAAAGAAUAUAUAAAAAGACAAAGUCGCCCUCAUCGCCUAAGUGAUGAAGCUGUCAACAAGAUUCACAUGGAAAAGUUUUGUGACUGGUUUAGAUCAUAUGUUAGGGUUAUUAAUAACACAAGGAAACAACAGCUGAGUGAAAAAAUCAAAUGGCUUGCCCGAGGUCCAAACAUUGAGGCUAGAACAUUCAAACGUCAUGCUGUUAAUGGUUUCAAGUUUCGAGUAAAAAGUAGCGAGGAAACCAAAAAACCUUAGAAUAGUGGGGUGUGUGUGGUAGUUGAAGGAGGAAGUUUAUACUACGGCAUUCUAUCAGAUAUUGUUGAGUUAAUUUAUUUUGAAAAGUUGAGAUAUGUCUUAUUCAAAUGUGAUUGGGCUGAUGUCAACACAAGCAGGGACCAUAAGAUAGAUGAAUAUGGUUUUGUUCUUGUGAAUUUCUCACGUUUGAUACACACGGGAGAGCGGUUGAACGAUGAACCAUUCAUUAUGGCUUCUCAAGCUUCACAAGUUUAUAUUAUGUAAAAGAUCCAAGAGAUAAAAGGAUGGCUCGUUGCGGUUAGGACAAAAGCUAGGGAUGUGUUUGAUGUUGGUAACAGUGAAAGGGAAGAAGAUGAUGCUGGCACGUAUUAUGACAAUGAGCCUUAUGAUCUGCUAGUUGAAGACAUGCCUGUAGAUGGACAUGACAACCUUGAUUGGCUUAGAAAUGAUGCAAUCAGGACUACCAUCGAU